GACAGAGGCCUCAAGCGUUAGGCGGAAUCACUGGGCUUAAAGCGUGUGUAGGCGGAUCGUUAAGUGUCUUGUGAAAUCCCACGGCUCACCCGUGGAACUGCUGGGCAUACUGGCGAUCUUGGGCCAACUAGGGGCAACUGGAACAAGCGGUGGAGCGGUGAAAUGCGUAGAUAUCGCUUGGAACGCCAAAGGUGAAAACAGGGUUGCUGGGGGUUGUGCCGACG
rnacentral:rRNA from 1 species